rnacentral:misc_RNA from 1 species
CAGAGUUCAUGCCCUUACGGGUAGAUCUCCCACCCUAUGUUAUCAUUACUUUGUUGCUUUGGCGGGCCGUCAGGCUCACGCCCGGCUACCGGCUUCGGCUGGUAAGCGCCCGCCAGAAGACCCAAAACCCUGAAUAUUAGUGUCGUCUGAGUACUAUAUAAUAGUUA